UUGGGGUUGGUUAGGUUUUGCACAUUUUUAAAACAAAUGCACUAUGCAUUAUGUGGGUUGAAUGCUUUAACACAGAAUAAACAAUGAAUUAAAGUCCCAUGAUGGUAGACUGCCCCUUACUACAUAUAAUCUUUUAACCAUCAUUUAUUCACAUUACUUUAAUAAAAUAUUUCCAUUGUGUAUAUUACAUUAGCUCUAUUUGAUGACUUUAUUUCAUUCCAAGUCAUCUCAUCUAUAUAGAGCUGCUGUCUGACAUAAUCACUUUUUUUGUGAUUCUUCAAAGUAAAUAAGGUACUUUUAGGGCUCCCGAGUGGCGCAGAGGUCUAAGGCACUGCAGCUCAGUGCUGGAGGCGUCAUUACAGACCCUGGUUCAAUUUCAGCCUGUAUCACAACCGGCCUUGAUUGGGAGUCCCAUAGGGCGGCGCACAAUUGGCACAGCGUUGUUAGGGUUUGCCCGGGGUAGGCUGUCAUUGUAAAUAAGAAUUUGUUCUUAACUGACUUGCCUAGUUAAAUACAUUUUAUGAUUGCUGAUACCAAUACAAAUUUUGUCAUGUGCCGAAUACAACCGGUGUAGACCUUACAGUGAAAUGCUUACUCACAAGGCCAUAACCAACCAGUUUUAAGAAAAAUACCUAAAAAAAUAAAAGAAAUAAAAGUAACAAAUAAUUAAAGAGCAGCAGUAAAACAACAAUUACAAAGCUAUAUACAGGGGAUGCCAUUUAGUCGAGGUAAUUGAGGUAAUAUAUUCAUGUGGGUAGAGUUAUUAAAGUGACAUGCAUAAUAACAUAGAGUAGCAGCUUCACUUAGAUCAUGUAUUUUCAGGUAGAGAUACCUCACGCAACUGCUCUAUCACGCGUUUUUCUGUCUCUUCUCUUCUCUCCCUCUGUGUAUGGCCCAAACAGACCAGACAAGUAGGCAUGCAAUGGAUUAUGGUCAUUGUAGUUAAUUACCACGUUUUCUGCACUAAACGAUAUAGAAUAUUGGCCUGUUUGAAACUACAACUUCCUACUGAGCUCACAGAAAAAAACUAAAUGGAAUUCAAAUAAUUGAACCAAGGUCAGCCAAUAAGUUGUUUAAAAACUGAAAGAUAACUGAAAUGUUGGCUAAUUGACUGAGGCAAGCAAAUCUCUUGUCAAUUCAACCACAGACCAGUCAAUUUGACAAUAAGAUUAGCUGUCUCCAGUCAAUUUGACAAUAAGAUUUGCUGUCUCCAGUCAAUUUGACAAUAAGAUUUGCAGCCUCCAGUCAAUUUGACAAUAAGAUUUGCAGCCUCCAGUCAAUUUGACAAUAAGAUUUGCAGCCUCCAGUCAAUUUGACAAUAAGAUUUGCCUUCUCCAGUCAAUUUGACAAUAAGAUUUGCUGUCUCCAGUCAAUUUGACAAUAAGAUUUGCAGCCUCCAGUCAAUUUGACAAUAAGAUUUGCUGUCUCCAGUCAAUUUGACAAUAAGAUUUGCUGUCUCCAGUCAAUUUGACAAUAAGAUUUGCUGUCUCCAGUCAAUUUGACAAUAAGAUUUGCUGUCUCCAGUCAAUUUGACAAUAAGAUUUGCUGUCUCCAGUCAAUUUGACAACGAGAUUUGCUGUCUCCAGUCAAUUUGACAAUAAGAUUUGCUGUCUCCAGUCAAUUUGACAACGAGAUUUGCUGUCUCCAGUCAAUUUGACAAUAAGAUUUGCUGUCUCCAGUCAAUUUGACAACGAGAUUUGCUGGCCCCAGUCAAUUUGACAAUAAGAUUUGCUGUCUCCAGUCAAUUUGACAAUAAGAUUUGCUGUCUCC
ensembl:lncRNA